UGAGGUGUAGCUCAGUGGUCGAGCACAUGGUUAGCAUGCAUGAGGCCCUGGAUUCAAUCCUAGCACCCCAA
rnacentral:tRNA from 1 species